GACGAACGCUGGCGGCGUGCUUAACACAUGCAAGUCGAACGGAAAGGCCCUGCUUGCAGGGUACUCGAGUGGCGAACGGGUGAGUAACACGUGGGUGAUCUGCCCUGCACUUCGGGAUAAGCCUGGGAAACUGGGUCUAAUACCGGAUAGGAGCCAUUUUUAGUGUGAUGGUUGGAAAGUUUUUUCGGUGUAGGAUGAGCUCGCGGCCUAUCAGCUUGUUGGUGGGGUAAUGGCCUACCAAGGCGGCGACGGGUAGCCGGCCUGAGAGGGUGGACGGCCACAUUGGGACUGAGAGACGGCCCAGACUCCUACGGGAGGCAGCAGUGGGGAAGAUUGCACAAGGGGCGCAAGCCUGAUGCAGCGACGCCGCGUGGGGGAUGACGGCCUUCGGGUUGUAAACUCCUUUCGCUAGGGACGAAGCUUUUUGUGACGGUACCUAGAUAAGAAGCACCGGCUAACUACGUG
rnacentral:rRNA from 1 species